rnacentral:rRNA from 1 species
CCAGAAAGCCACGGCUAACUACGUGCCAGCAGCCGCGGUAAUACGUAGGUGGCAAGCGUUGUCCGGAAUUAUUGGGCGUAAAGGGCUCGCAGGCGGUUUCUUAAGUCUGAUGUGAAAGCCCCCGGCUCAACCGGGGAGGGUCAUUGGAAACUGGGGAACUUGAGUGCAGAAGAGGAGAGUGGAAUUCCACGUGUAGCGGUGAAAUGCGUAGAGAUGUGGAGGAACACCAGUGGCGAAGGCGACUCUCUGGUCUGUAACUGACGCUGAGGAGCGAAAGCGUGGGGAGCGAACAGGAUUAGAUACCCUGGUAGUCCACGCCGUAAACGAUGAGUGCUAAGUGUUAGGGGGUUUCCGCCCCUUAGUGCUGCAGCUAACGCAUUAAGCACUCCGCCUGGGGAGUACGGUCGCAAGACUGAAACUCAAAGGAAUUGACGGGGGCCCGCACAAGCGGUGGAGCAUGUGGUUUAAUUCGAAGCAACGCGAAGAACCUUACCAGGUCUUGACAUCCUUUGACAAUCCUAGAGAUAGGACGUCCCCUUCGGGGGCAGAGUGACAGGUGGUGCAUGGUUGUCGUCAGCUCGUGUCGUGAGAUGUUGGGUUAAGUCCCGCAACGAGCGCAACCCUUGAUCUUAGUUGCCAGCAUUCAGUUGGGCACUCUAAGGUGACUGCCGGUGACAAACCGGAGGAAGGUGGGGAUGACGUCAAAUCAUCAUGCCCCUUAUGACCUGGGCUACACACGUGCUACAAUGGACAGAACAAAGGGCAGCGAAACCGCGAGGUUAAGCCAAUCCCACAAAUCUGUUCUCAGUUCGGAUCGCAGUCUGCAACUCGACUGCGUGAAGCUGGAAUCGAUAGUAAUCGCGGAUCAGC